GGGAGUGUUAGGCCUCGAGGGAAAGUUAUUCUUAAUGGGCGCACAGAAAGCGUGAACGUCGCUUUUGAAUCUCCGUUUGAACAAUAAGUGCAAACUUAUUUAGAAGCAAUCAGCUUCAACCUGUUUACGCUUAAGUUAGCGUAAGCCAUCGGUGUUACUGAUGUUCGUAAGGUAACGAUUCCGGUGUCAAAUUCCGAACUACUGUGCAUCGUUCGUUUUCUAGGUGCAUAGGAAACUUAAAAGAAAACACACCUGCAUGCGUUUUGUUGGUUUUACAGCAUGUAGUGAUCCAAACCGACUAUCUGUGUAGAUGCUCGUAGGCAACCUUUCCCCAAGCGGGUUCAAUUCCCGCCACUUCCACUG
rnacentral:tmRNA from 7 species